ACUGCAAAUGGAGAAGUUUAAAUAUAAUUAAGACACAGAUACCAUAUAAUCUAAUUAACUUGGCAAGCACAUCUCUAUUGACAAAGUUUCAGACUAAAACAGCUAAAUAUUUGGCUCCCAGCUAUCUUUGAUGUGACACUUAACCGAUUUGCCAUCAGAUACGAGGUGGAGCAAUUGUGGCCGCUACCGCUCUUGGCAGACACCUACGCAACCCAACCCAACCAAAACAAAUCCAUGCAAUACAACCACAUCAGCCAGCUUUAAUUGGGCGACAAACUAGAGGCAAAAUGAUGCACCUAACGGCAUUAAAAUGCACUUAGCCCAGUAAGUGCAAGUGGGUGUGGAAGGGAGUGUGUGGGAGUGGCUGUGGAGGAGGCUCAACCUUUCGGCUGGCAUAUUUACAUGUGUCACGGAUAGGAGUGGUUGAGUUUCCGAGGAUGAGGAGGGGAUAGCCACAUCCACAUGCACAUUCACAUCCACAUCUUCAUCUGUAUUGACAAACCGGCUGAUGGGCCAGCCGAGAAGUCGAGUCUGGAGUGCAUGCGAGCAUUCGCAUUCACAUUCAGUGCCUUCCCUGCUCGUUGUUCGCAGCAUUUGCCCAACACAAUUAAAAAUGUGCAUAACUCGGAAUGGCAGGCUGUUUGGCGGGCAGCAGCGAUUUCGCUCAAGUUGUUUGCCGUCGCCGGCGACUAACGGUCUUAAGAGUGUCUAUCCGUCUGUGAAUCCGUCCGUCCAGUUCAGUCGCUCUGUCCGCCCGGCUGUCCCCCCGGUUAGCUGCCUUUGAAGUGCAUUACAAUGUAAAUGGAGGGGACAAUGUUGCCUACUUUCAACUCUUUCAUUUCCAGAACACACUGUGAUGCCAACUAAGCAGAAGUUAUGCAAAAGCAAUAUAAUUCAGAUCUGACCGGAAGAAAAACCAAACCGUCAUCACCGCGGAUUAAACCAACGGAAGCGUCAAACAACUUCCUCAAAAAAAACUAAUUCCCGACUGGUGGCUUAAGGAAGAAAAGGCUUGCAAAUUAAAGAGACAGUCUUCGCCAUAUAGUACAUAAUAGUACAGGUAUACAUGCAUGCACCCAAUGGCAUUGCAGCGAAUAUCUGAACGAACGAACCGAAAGUAAAUAUACAUUUUCUGUAUGGAUGCCCUAGCAAAGGCUAGAAUUGCACGCACAGCUCUUGUUGACUGUUUGAGUCAUCGGUACGCUCACGUAUUGAUGCAUUGAUAAGCGAAGUGAUCGCUUAUUCACUGAAGCCGACUCAUUGCUAACCUGUUUUCCCAUACCAAUCAUAUCAAUAGUUUUGUUAUUACUUAACAUCUGUUGGACGACAGUCAAUGGCAUAAAUAAAUCGAUUCACAUUUUCUUAUGAAUAAUGUA